CGAACCUACACAAGUCACACGCCUCUUCUCCUCAUGGCACACAUAAACCGAGGAAACACAAGAAGGGACAGGUCCAUUGCUUUCCUUGUCCUCGUCAUGGCGUUUGCUUGUACCAUGUCAUCCUGCCAUGCACGAGGUGGAGAGCCAUAUUGCAUAGGUCCGAUACUAGGAUGCUCUGAGCCUAGUUGAAUGGAAGAAUGCAACUUAAUAGACAAGGGUCUUCAUUCCUUCUAUUGCAACCACCUUGGACAAUGUUGUUGUUGGCCUCUAUAGUUUGAUUGGACACAACCAUUUUGGUUAUGGAUCCAUGACAUCGAAUGAAUCUUGAUCGUGCUUGUGUGAUGUAAUCUCGGUGAAUAAACUCCUUGAAUGGAAUGAGCCAUUAUUUUUUACGUAGACAGAAUAAAAUGUUCCUUUAGAAUGUGAUUAUUGGCAUCUGCUGUAGACCAUGUUUCUUGCAUGACCAAGUUUUCAGUCCAACCCUAAAGUAUGAAUAAUGUUGUUC